GAUGAACGCUGGCGGCGUGCUUAACACAUGCAAGUCGAACGAUGAAGCCCAGCUUGCUGGGUGGAUUAGUGGCGAACGGGUGAGUAACACGUGAGUAACCUGCCCUUGACUCUGGGAUAAGCCUGGGAAACUGGGUCUAAUACUGGAUAUGACUUCUCAUCGCAUGGUGGGGGGUGGAAAGAUUUAUUGGUCUUGGAUGGACUCGCGGCCUAUCAGCUUGUUGGUGAGGUAAUGGCUCACCAAGGCGACGACGGGUAGCCGGCCUGAGAGGGUGACCGGCCACACUGGGACUGAGACACGGCCCAGACUCCUACGGGAGGCAGCAGCGGGGAAUAUUGCACAAUGGGCGCAAGCCUGAUGCAGCGACACCGCGUGAGGGAUGACGGCCUUCGGGUUGUAAACCUCUUUCAGUAGGGAAGAAGCGAGAGUGACGGUACCUGCAGAAGAAGCGCCGGCUAACUACGUG
rnacentral:rRNA from 1 species